rnacentral:rRNA from 1 species
UACGGGGGGGGCAAGCGUUGUUCGGAAUUACUGGGCGUAAAGGGCGCGUAGGCGGCCUGCUAAGUCGGAUGUGAAAUCCCUCGGCUCAACCGAGGAACUGCAUCCGAUACUGGCGGGCUUGAAUCCGGGAGAGGGAUGUGGAAUUCCAGGUGUAGCGGUGGAAUGCGCAGAUAUCAGGAGGAACACCGAUGGCGAAGGCAGGUCUCUGGGCCACUACUGACGCUGAGAAGCGAAAGCAUGGGGAGCGAACAGG